GUGCUUGCUUCGGCAACACAUAUGCUAAAAUUGGAACCAUACAGAGAUUAGCAUGGCCCCUGAGCAAAGAUGACAUGAACAUGCGUGAAAUGUUCGAUAUUUCU
ensembl:snRNA U6 U6 spliceosomal RNA